UUUAUUUCUUCAAUUAUUUUGCAGGAGUGCAAUAAAAAAUAGUUAAGAAAACUACUUUUAAGAGGCUGAAAUCUGGAUGAGACCAUACUCUGGCUCAUUUGGCACAGGAAAGCCAAGCAACCAUGCAGGACUGGAAACUUCUAGUUGGUUUUCAUUUGAUUAGGAAAUACUUCUGCAAGACUGUAUGGAAAAGUCAGCUGGGUGUUUUGUCCUGCUCCCUCCCAGGAAAUGAAUGCAUAUGUUGAAUAUCUCAUGAAGA